rnacentral:rRNA from 1 species
AGUCGGUGGGGUAACCGCAAGGAGCCAGCCGCCGAAGGUGGGAUAGAUGAUUGGGGUGAAGUCGUAACAAGGUAGCCGUAUCGGAAGGUGCGGCUGGAUCACCUCCUUUCUAUGGAGA